GUCUUCGUAGCUUACCGAUU
rnacentral:tRNA from 1 species